GACGAACGCUGGCGGCGUGCUUAACACAUGCAAGUCGAACGGGUCUGCCCUGUUUUUUGCGGGGUGGGUCAGUGGCGAACGGGUGAGUAACACGUGAGUAACCUGCCCCUCACUUCUGGAUAACCGCUUGAAAGGGUGGCUAAUACGGGGUGUUCUGGCUGUGCCGCAUGGUGUGGCUGGGAAAGAUUCACUUUUGUGGUGUUUUGGUGGGGGAUGGGCUCGCGGCCUAUCAGCUUGUUGGUGGGGUGAUGGCCUGCCAAGGCUUUGACGGGUAGCCGGCCUGAGAGGGUGGCCGGUCACACUGGGACUGAGCUACGGCCCAGACUCCUGCGGGAGGCAGCAGUGGGGGGUAUUGCACAAUGGGCGGAAGCCUGAUGCAGCGACGUCGCGUGAGGGAUGGAGGCCUUCGGGUUGUGAACCUCUUUCGCCGGUGAAGAAGGUCCUGCUCUUUGUGGUGGGGUUGACGGUAGCCGGGUUAUGAAGCGCCGGCUAACUACGUG
rnacentral:rRNA from 1 species